AGUUGCGUCCCGCCGCGGGGGCUUCACUGCUUGUCCGAGUCGCUCAGGUUCACGGACAUGCACCGGCACUGCUUCACCUUCUGGAUCUUCUUGAGUCGGAAGGGAGGGUCCAUCCCAGGGCAUUCGAGCUCCACGAGGACGGAGGUGACGCGCUGGGGCUUGCAGAAGGCGCACGACUGGAAGGACUCCUCCUCCUUGCGGACGUGGCGCGGGAUGUAGAAGGAGUUGCACUGGCCAUAGCAGAAGCGGUUGAGGAUGGUGCGGCUGCGGCAGCCCUCCUCGCUCACCGUCUGCCGCAGCGGCUGCGUCUUGCACCAGUCACUCUUGAGGUACUUGCGCUCGGUGACCACCAGGGCCUCCUGGCUGGAGGCCAACACCUCCUUGAUCUGGUGCUGCCAUCGCUCCGAGUGGUUGCUGCUGCCGUCCUUGUAGGGCGAGGGGAUGGCGCCCGCAGGCCGGUUCUUGCGGGCCUCCGCCACCUUCACCAGCACGGCCACCAGGCACAAGGACAGGGAGAGCUUCCAGAACAUCCUGCAACGAGAGAAGAGCGAGAGCAUUUGGCUGGGGCGGGUGCUGGGUUUCCUGGUUUCAUUAGGAGGAGCUGCAGUCCGGUGGGGCAGCUGGGAAGUGAGAGGGCUUAGAGGCCACCUGCGGACAGCAAGGAUGCUCUCCGCAAGGCUUCCCCGAAGGCAAGGCGAGGGACGCAAGGGAAACUGAGGCAUGGAGAGCCUUUACAACUUAUCAAGAUCAUAUGGCCAGUAUGUGAAAUAUUUGAAUCCUGGCUCCAUGCAUCCUGGCUGCAGGUUUACUAGAGGAGACACUGAGAAGUGGAAAUGCUACAUCACAGGAUAUGUACAACUUGAGCUUGGCAAAGUUUUGCUAAGUUACUUUCCAAGUACUUCCCCCCACCCCCAGAGUAAUAUGUGAGUCCCUGCAGAUGCACAUACUUGCUAGCCCUUGGUGUUACCAGAUUUGUUAUGUUUUGCCUAUCUGAAAAAUUUGA